rnacentral:rRNA from 1 species
UACGGAGGGUGCAAGCGUUAAUCGGAAUUACUGGGCGUAAAGCGCGCGUAGGUGGUUUGUUAAGUCAGAUGUGAAAGCCCAGGGCUCAACCUUGGAACUGCAUCUGAUACUGGCAGGCUAGAGUAUGGUAGAGGGAGGUAGAAUUCCACGUGUAGCGGUGAAAUGCGUAGAGAUGUGGAGGAACAUCAGUGGCGAAGGCGGCCCCCUGGCCAAAGACUGACGCUCAUGUGCGAAAGUGUGGGUAGCGAACAGGAUUAGAUACCCGCGUAGUCC